rnacentral:rRNA from 1 species
UACGUAGGGUGCAAGCGUUGUCCGGAAUUAUUGGGCGUAAAGAGCUCGUAGGCGGUUUGUCGCGUCUGCUGUGAAAACUCGGGGCUUAACCCCGGGCCUGCAGUGGGUACGGGCAGACUAGAGUGCGGUAGGGGAGACUGGAAUUCCUGGUGUAGCGGUGAAAUGCGCAGAUAGCAGGAGGAACACCGGUGGCGAAGGCGGCGACCUGGUCCUUUUACUGACGCUGAGGCGCGAAAGCGUGGGGAGCGAACAGG